rnacentral:misc_RNA from 1 species
CGCUCACGGCUUGGAAAAUAAAUUGAGCCUUAGUAGAWAACUUACUAAGUGUUAGCUUUCAGAUUCAGGGGAACCUAGGUUGAAAAAGUAUAUAGGUAAUCCUGAGCCAAAUCUUAUUUUAAAAUGAGAAAGGUGCAGAGACUCAAUGUAAGCUAUCCUAACGAAUAAUUUUAAUUUAUUUUUUAUUUACUAUCAAUUAAUAUAAUUAAUAAUUUAAUAUAAAUUAAAUUAAUUUAUAAUAAAUAUAAAUAAAUUAUUAUAUUUAUUUAUAAUUGAUUUAAAUAAAUCAAUUAUUUAUGAAAAUUUAGACGAGGAUAAAGAUAGAGUCCACUUUUACAUGUUAAUUUUAACAACAAUUAAAAUUGUAGUAAAAAAGAAAAUCCGUUGGCUUUAUUGACCGUGAGGGUUCAAGUCCCUCUAUCCCCAAAAAUUUAUAUAUAAGAAAAAAAUGACAUUUAUUUGUCAUUUUUUAUUGACAUAAGUUCAAAUUUUAUGUUACGAUGAUUUUUAAAUAGUAAAAAAGCCGGGAUAGCUCANUGGUAGAGCAGAGGACUGAAAAUCCUC